rnacentral:rRNA from 1 species
CUGGGAGGACCAUCUCCUAAGGCUAAAUACUCUCUAGUGACCGAUAGUGAACCAGUACCGUGAGGGAAAGGUGAAAAGCACCCCGGAAGGGGAGUGAAAUAGAACCUGAAACCGUGUGCUUACAAGUAGUCAGAGCCCGUUAAUGGGUGAUGGCGUGCCUUUUGUAGAAUGAACCGGCGAGUUACGAUUUGAUGCAAGGUUAAGCAGUAAAUGUGGAGCCGUAGCGAAAGCGAGUCUGAAUAGGGCGUUUAGUAUUUGGUCGUAGACCCGAAACCAGGUGAUCUACCCUUGGUCAGGUUGAAGUUCAGGUAACACUGAAUGGAGGACCGAACCGACUUACGUUGAAAAGUGAGCGGAUGAACUGAGGGUAGCGGAGAAAUUCCAAUCGAACCUGGAGAUAGCUGGUUCUCUCCGAAAUAGCUUUAGGGCUAGCCUCAAGUGAUGAUUAUUGGAGGUAGAGCACUGUUUGGACGAGGGGCCCCUCUCGGGUUACCGAAUUCAGACAAACUCCGAAUGCCAAUUAAUUUAACUUGGGAGUCAGAACAUGGGUGAUAAGGUCCGUGUUCGAAAGGGAAACAGCCCAGACCACCAGCUAAGGUCCCAAAAUAUAUGUUAAGUGGAAAAGGAUGUGGCGUUGCCCAGACAACUAGGAUGUUGGCUUAGAAGCAGCCAUCAUUUAAAGAGUGCGUAAUAGCUCACUAGUCGAGUGACACUGCGCCGAAAAUGUACCGGGGCUAAACAUAUUACCGAAGCUGUGGAUUGUCCUUUGGACAAUGGUAGGAGAGCGUUCUAAGGGCGUUGAAGCAUGAUCGUAAGGACAUGUGGAGCGCUUAGAAGUGAGAAUGCCGGUGUGAGUAGCGAAAGACGGGUGAGAAUCCCGUCCACCGAUUGACUAAGGUUUCCAGAGGAAGGCUCGUCCGCUCUGGGUUAGUCGGGUCCUAAGCUGAGGCCGACAGGCGUAGGCGAUGGAUAACAGGUUGAUAUUCCUGUACCACCUAUA